UACGUAGGGGGCGAGCGUUAAUCGGAAUUACUGGGCGUAAAGCGUGCGCAGGCGGUUCGCUAAGACAGGUGUGAAAUCCCCGGGCUUAACCUGGGAAUGGCGCUUGUGACUGGCGGGCUGGAGUACGGCAGAGGGAGGUGGAAUUCCACGUGUAGCAGUGAAAUGCGUAGAGAUGUGGAGGAACACCGAUGGCGAAGGAAGCCUCCUGGGCCAGUAAUGACCCUCAUGCACGAAAGCGUGGGGAGCAAACAGG
rnacentral:rRNA from 1 species